UAUCUAGUGGAACAUUUCUACUUAGACCAGACUACAGAAACACAGUGUAUGGAGAUGCUUCUGCUACAUG
rnacentral:pre_miRNA from 12 species